UGCUCUCCUCAAUCGGGGCGGGGGUCAGCUCCAGUAGAGAGGAAGCAUAACGUAAGUGGGUAAAAAACUGGACACGCUAAAAUCGAGAGAAAAAGGGAGAAAAUGCUUACAAAAAGAAAGAGUUUCUCAGAAGUGCCCAAACUGACUGGUAUCAGUAGAUGAAUUGAUGAGAGCAAUACCGGCAAUGUCACCUAGAGACAGAGAAGCAUGGAUGUGCACUCCAACCUAAUGAGUCCCAACACACCCGUCUGCCGCUGUAAAUACAACAUAAAGCCGAAUCUCAGCCUGUGCUGGAGGAAAACAACUGCAAUUUCUAGUCACAUAACCUUUCAUUUAUGCAACACUUCAAACUCACGAUAUUUCUGGUAAUUCUGGCAGCGCCUGCAUAGACUAGUUCUCUGAUAUUCAGAAAGCCAGACAACAGAGCUAUUUUUGUUGGUGUGACAAAAAAAGUGAGGAAAAAUUUGCACAUGCUUCAGAGACUUUCAAAGGCUGAUUUCAUAUCUCCUAUUUUACAAGGUGAUGAGGUGGUAAUCACUAGCUGUGCAGCUGCAGCCACCUUUGUCGCCCGCUUCCCCCUUACAUUCUCUGCCGAAGCAGGCGGGCACGCGUGUGUCAUUCUGACUAGGCGCUAAUGACAGCAGGUGCAUGCGAUUGCACUGCUGAGUGACAGGUGAGAUUUACAUGUUAAAAGGAGAGGUGGCGCGUCUUCACCCCUCGCUAUGUUCUGUGAACGUCAGCGUAGACUGGAGGUGGACAAAGUAACAGAAACAGCACAAAGAAGAGGAGCUUGACAUUAAACGCAUCCAAUUGCCCAAUUUGCAUCACGCAUUCUCUCUGCCUCUGCCGAUCCCUGCCCUGACUGAGGAGAUUGAAGCUAACACACAUCCCCUCCGACACGUGAGCAGCAAGCCGUAUGCAUCUUGCCACCCACACAUUGACGAGUGUUGUGCCACCUAGCGUUGCGUGCGGAGAGACACACCCUAAAAGCAUUCCUUCCUCAUCUCCGUGUAGGCGCCUCUAAUCAGCCAGCAGAGGUCAUAAACGCACCAUUCUGACAGAGAGAGACCCACUUCCGACCUUAGUCCCGCCCAUCUGAACAACAGGCCAAUCGUUGUUCAUAUAGCUGCCCAGCCUUGGCUGGUAAGGCAGAGCUGGAUUCGAUACGAUGUACUCGAGAUCCAGCUUCGGUUGCAGCGUGUGUUUUUACCGCUGCGCCACCUGAGCGGCCAGGUAGUUUGUUUUUAAAAUGCAGGUGCAUUAGUAAGAAAUACUAAAAGAAACCUCUCUGUAAAACUGUUUUACUCAACUAGCAUUGUACAUUAUUAACUACAUUCUCUGUUGUUUUACCCCGAGGGCAUUCUGAUGGAAACCUGUUUACCCGCCGAGGUUAAGGAUUGAAGUCGAGACUGCCGUGACAAUGAUGCUGCUCCUGCCGGAUGUGACGGGUCUGGAGUAAUUGCAUCAGGAAUGACAAGAACUCACUACGGACUUUAUUGAAGACUAGACCGAAUAUCAACUCUAUUGUUAUUAUUUAUUUAUUUAUUUAUUGCCAGUUAUAACUUUUAGUUCAUUUAAUUCUGUGUUUGUAUGAUUUGUGUAAAUCCUACUUAUUUAAAGUAUCCUCCAGGCCACCCAAGAAGGAUGGGCCCUGCUGAGUCUGGUUCCUCUCAAGGUUUCUUCCUGUAAUUUUCAGGGAGUUUUUCCUUGCCACAGUCGCCCUCGGCUUGCUCAUCAGGGGUUUUUGUAUCUGUUGGUCCUGGAUUUUGUAAAGUUGCUUUGAGACAAUGUCUGUUGUAAAAAGCGCUAUAUAAAUAAAGUUGACUUGACUUGA